rnacentral:rRNA from 1 species
GGAGGAUCCGAGCGUUAUCCGGAUUUACUGGGUGUAAAGGGAGCGUAGACGGAGUGGCAAGUCUGAUGUGAAAGCCCGGGGCUCAACCCCGGGACUGCAUUGGAAACUGUCAAUCUAGAGUACCGGAGAGGUAAGCGGAAUUCCUAGUGUAGCGGUGAAAUGCGUAGAUAUUAGGAGGAACACCAGUGGCGAAGGCGGCUUACUGGACUGUAACUGACGUUGAGGCUCGAAAGCGUGGGGAGCAAACAGGAUUAGAUACCCUGGUAGUCCACGCGGUAAACGAUGAAUACUAGGUGUUGGGGGACUGACCCCUUCCGUGCCGCAGCAAACGCAAUAAGUAAUCCACCUGGGGAGU